rnacentral:rRNA from 1 species
GAACGCGUGGCGGCGUGCCUAACACAUCAAGUCGACGGACGCGUCCUCGGGGACAAGUAGUGGCGGACGGGUGAGUAAUGCAUGAGCAACCUGCCUCGAAGAGGGGAAUAACACAGAGAAAUUUGUGCUAAUACCGCAUAAUGUAUCCGGGAGGCAUCUUCCGGAUAAGAAAGGAGCAAUCCGCUUUGAGAUGGGCUCAUGUCUGAUUAGACAGUUGGCGGGGUAACGGCCCACCAAAUCUACGAUCAGUAGCCGAACUGAGAGGUUGAACGGCCACAUUGGGACUGAGACACGGCCCAGACUCCUACGGGAGGCAGCAGUGGGGAAUAUUGGACAAUGGGCGAAAGCCUGAUCCAAGCGACGCCGCGUGAAGGAAGAAGGUCUUCGGAUUGUAAACUUUAGUGAGCAGGGACGAUAAUGACGGUACCUGCAUAGCAAGCCACGGCUAACUACGUGCCAGCCGCCGC